rnacentral:rRNA from 1 species
UAAAAGCCGCCCGUCAGGCGGCUUUGUUAAGUUCGGAAUGUGAAAUUCCCUGGGGCUUCAACCUUGGGAAUUGGCAUUCGGAUAACUGGACAGGCUAGGAGUUCUGGUAGAGGAUGGGUUAGAAUUUCCCAGGUUUUAGCCGGUGAAAAUGCGUGGAGAUCUGGAGGAAUACCCGAUGGCGAAGGCCGGCCUCCUGGCCUAAAGACUGACGUUCAGGUGCGAAACCUUGGGGAGCAAACCAGGAUUGGAUACCCUGGUAGUCCACGCGGUAACCGAGGUCGAUUGGCAGUUGGGCCCUUGGAGGAUUAGUUGCCGAAGCUACCGCGUUAAGUGGACCCCUUGGGGAGUCCGGCGCCAGGCUUAAAAUUCAAAGGAAUGGCCGGGGGCCCGCCCAACCGGUGGACCAUGUGGUUUAAUUGGAUGCAACGGGAGGACCUUUCCUUGCCCUGGCCAUCCAAGAAAUUUCCCAGAGAUGAUUUGGUCCUUUCGGGAAUUAGGAGCCAGGUGCUCCAUGGCGUUCUUCAGUUCGUUUGGUGAAAUGUUGGGUUAAUUCCCGCAACGAGCGCAACCUUUUUCCUAUGUUGCCACCGGUUAGGCCGGGAACUCUAAGGAUACUGCCAGUGACAAACUGGAGGAAGGCGGGGACGACGUCAAGUCAUCAUGGCCCUUACGACCAGGGCUACACACGUGCUACAAUGGUCGGUACAAAGGGAUGCUACCUCGCGAGAGGAUGCUAAUCUCAAAAAACCGAUCGUAGUCCGGAUUGCAGUCUGCAACUCGACUGCGUGAAGUCGGAAUCGCUAGUAAUCGCGGAUCAGAAUGCCGCGGUGAAUACGUUCCCGGGCCUUGUACACCCCGCCCGUCACCCCAUGGGAGUUUGUUGCCCCAUGAAGGUAAGGUAAGUCCUAACCGCAAGGAGGACGCUAACCCAACGUGGCCCAGGGGC